rnacentral:rRNA from 1 species
UACGAAGGGGACUAGCGUUGUUCGGAAUCACUGGGCGUAAAGCGCACGUAGGCGGAUUUGUAAGUCAGGGGUGAAAUCCCGGGGGCUCAACCUCGGAACUGCCUUUGAUACUGCGAGUCUUGAGUCCGAUAGAGGUGGGUGGAAUUCCUAGUGUAGAGGUGAAAUUCGUAGAUAUUAGGAAGAACACCAGUGGCGAAGGCGGCCCACUGGAUCGGUACUGACGCUGAGGUGCGAAAGCGUGGGGAGCAAACAGGG